rnacentral:rRNA from 1 species
UACGGAGGGUACAAGCGUUGUCCGGAUUUAUUGGGUUUAAAGGGUGCGUAGGCGGCCCGUUAAGUCAGUGGUGAAAUCCCAGGGCUCAACCCUGGAACUGCCAUUGAUACUGACGGGCUUGAGUUCGGUUAAGGCGGGCGGAACUGGUGGUGUAGCGGUGAAAUGCUUAGAUAUGACACAGAACACCGAUUGCGAAGGCAGCUCACUAAACUGUAACUGACGCUGAGGCACGAAAGCAUGGGGAGCAAACAGG